rnacentral:rRNA from 1 species
UUGACCUCAAAUCAGGUAGGACUACCCGCUGAACUUAAGCAUAUCAAUAAGCGGAGGAAAAGAACUAACAAGGAUCCCCCUAGUAACUGCGAGUGAAGCGGGAAAAGCUCAA